AUGCCGGAUGCUCCAGUUGAUCGCAUGGUCUUCUGGGAAAGCUUUCGCGGUAUGGGAUGGGGUCGCGUCCUAUCAGCUUGACGGCGGGGUAACGGCCCACCGUGGCUUCGACGGGUAGCCGGCCUGAGAGGGCGACCGGCCACAUUGGGACUGAGAUACGGCCCAGACUCCUACGGGAGGCAGCAGUGGGGAAUAUUGCACAAUGGGCGCAAGCCUGAUGCAGCGACGCCGCGUGAGGGAUGGAGGCCUUCGGGUUGUAAACCUCUUUUAUCGGGGAGCAAGCGAGAGUGAGUUUACCCGUUGAAUAAGCACCGGCUAACUACGUGCCAGCAGCCGCGGUAAUACGUAGGGUGCAAGCGUUAUCCGGAAUUAUUGGGCGUAAAGGGCUCGUAGGCGGUUCGUCGCGUCCGGUGUGAAAGUCCAUCGCUUAACGGUGGAUCCGCGCCGGGUACGGGCGGGCUUGAGUGCGGUAGGGGAGACUGGAAUUCCCGGUGUAACGGUGGAAUGUGUAGAUAUCG
rnacentral:rRNA from 1 species